AGGAAGUUGCCUUAUUUUAUCCGUGGAAAAGAAUGUUUCCAUAGGUAAAGUAAAAGCGAAUGGAGAAUCUGAAGCUGAAGCACGGAUAAAGUUUGCAAAAGCUCGGAUAUACACGAGGCAGAUUUUUACAACCUGCUGUUUGCAAAAAAUGAAGAGACGUACUGUUUAGAUGAAGAGUGG